CUCUCUCCUCUCUGUGUCUCCUGCAGGCAGUUGUCCAGUGAGCAGGCCAUGCUGCAGCAGACCCUGCAGAAGGAGUCCAAGGUCAACAAGCGUCUCUCCAUGGAGAAUGAGGAGCUGCUGUGGAAGCUGCACAACGGAGACCUGGCCAGCCCCCGCCGCCUCUCACCCUCACCUCCUACCCCCCAGAUCACCAACCCCAGCCUCUCAAGGAGACAAAGCUGUUCCAAAUACGGAUGGACUACUUCAUAUGAUGACGCUGCAGUUUUGGCUUCUGCCCACAAUGACUUGUACAGACGUUUUCUUUGCUCCCAGAAAGAGAAGACAAUGUUCCGAAUAAAGUUUGUGCGAAAAACCUUGGAUGUAGUUUUGAAAAUGUUAAAAUGGUAUAGGCCAGAGACGGAAGUGGAAGUGAGACACCGCAUUCCCUUUUUUUCUGGUUCAUAUACAGUCAAUGAAAAAAAAAUCUAUGGUAAAUGGCCUGAGUGGGGCAUCUUCAUUUAUCCGCCAUCUUUGGUAGAGACUUUUAGGGUGACUUAUUGA
rnacentral:lncRNA from 13 species